rnacentral:rRNA from 2 species
GUCGCAAGAUUAAAACUCAAAUGAAUUGACGGGGGCCCGCACAAGCGGUGGAGCAUGUGGUUUAAUUCGAUGCAACGCGAAGAACCUUACCUACUCUUGACAUCCAGAGAACUUUCCAGAGAUGGAUUGGUGCCUUCGGGAACUCUGAGACAGGUGCUGCAUGGCUGUCGUCAGCUCGUGUUGUGAAAUGUUGGGUUAAGUCCCGCAACGAGCGCAACCCUUAUCCUUGUUUGCCAGCACGUAAUGGUGGGAACUCCAGGGAGACUGCCGGUGAUAAACCGGAGGAAGGUGGGGACGACGUCAAGUCAUCAUGGCCCUUACGAGUAGGGCUACACACGUGCUACAAUGGCGUAUACAGAGGGCUGCCAACUAGCGAUAGUGAGCGAAUCCCAGAAAGUACGUCGUAGUCCGGAUUGGAGUCUGCAACUCGACUCCAUGAAGUCGGAAUCGCUAGUAAUCGUGAAUCAGAAUGUCACGGUGAAUACGUUCCCGGGCCUUGUACACACCGCCCGUCACACCAUGGGAGUGGGCUGCACCAGAAGUAGAUAGCUUAACCUUCGGGAGGGCGUUUACCACGGUGUGGUUCAUGACUGGGGUGAAGUCGUAACAAGGUAACCAAGGG